rnacentral:lncRNA from 1 species
CAAGCAACUCAAUAUCCAGUAAUUCCCUGGAAUUGUUGAAAAGAAUAAAAAGUCACAAGAUGUACAUUGCUGGCCUCAGCUGGAUUUUCCCAGGGUCAGGUGCCCAUUCCUACCUAAUCAAAGGACACUUCUGCUGACCUGCACCUAGAAUACCCUGUUCUGUGCUGAUGACUCAGAUGUAAGAAUGAUGAAGUGCAUCGGCUGGCAUGCAGAGAACAAUAAGAAAAAGAACUGAGUUGUGGGAAGACAUGAGGAAAGGACAUGAGGCUCUUAAUAACAGCUGCCAAGUACUGCAGUCGGGAAUCUGGAGCAAAGUGAUUCAAUUCUGACCACUGCCUGUGAGUAAAUGGGAUUUUAUUUUUCAAUACUUUUGUUUAAUAGUACCUCCUUCAUUACAUGUGAACAGCACUCCAGGACAGUAAAUCAUGAAAUGGGAAUAAAGCCUGUAAUUUUAAUUAACAUAUUUUAAAAUGUUUCUAAUUUGUAUGCAUUUGAUCAAAUUUUCAUUUGCAUUGAGCUAUUUUUUUUCUUUCUCAUGUAAUGUUUGACAUUACCAUUUCUUUCUUUAAUGAAAUACUAAUAUUUAAUAAAAUAUAUU